rnacentral:piRNA from 1 species
UCAGAGAAAUAAAAUAUAGUAAAUGUAUGGG